UACGUAGGGGGCCAGCGUUGCUCGGAAUUACUGGGCGUAAAGGGUUCGUAGGUGGUGCGGCAAGUUGGGAGUGAAAUCUCUGGGCUUAACUCAGAGGCUGCUUUCAAACUGCCGCGCUCGAGUGCGAGAGAGGUCAGUGGAAUUGCAGGUGUAGCGGUGAAAUGCGUAGAUAUCUGCAGGAACACCCGUGGCGAAGGCGGCUGACUGGAUCGCAACUGACACUGAGGAACGAA
rnacentral:rRNA from 1 species